rnacentral:ncRNA from 1 species
CGCAAGGUGCAGGUUCUUUGUUUCCCUGAAAGAGGCCGUUCCAAUUUUUGAGUAGUGAAAUGCGAAGAUGCAAAAGAGAAGGAAAGCAUAUUACGAGGUCGAUACUGACACUGAGAUACGAAAGUUAAGAUAGCAAAUGGGAUUAGAUAGCCCAGUAGUCUUAACUGUAAACAAUGGGUACUCGGUACUGGAAAUAUAAAUACAUAAAUUCAGUACCCUAGCUAACGCGUUAAGUGUCCCG